rnacentral:tRNA from 1 species
GCAAAAAUAGCUCAGUUGGGAGAGCGUUGGACUGAAGAUCUAAAGGUCCCUGGUUCUAUCCGGGGUGUUUGGCA